CCUACGGGAGGCAGCAGUGGGGAAUAUUGCACAAUGGGGGAAACCCUGAUGCAGCGACGCCGCGUGAGUGAAGAAGGAAUUCGUUAUGUAAAGCUCUAUCAGCAGGGAAGAAAAAGACGGUACCUGAGUAAGAAGCCCCGGACAACUACGUGCCAGCAGCCGCGGUAAUACGUAGGGGGCAAGCGUUAUGCGGAUUUACUGGGUGUAAAGGGAGCGUAGACGGCAGUGCAAGUCUGGAGUGAAGGGCGGGGGCUCAACCCACGGACUGGUCUGGAAACUGUACGGCUUGAGUGAAGGAGAGGUAAGUGGAAUUCCUAGUGUAGCGGUGAAAUGCGUAGAUAUUAUGAGGAACACCGGUGGCGAAGGCGGCUUACUGGACUGUAACUGACGUUGAGGCACGAAAGCGUGGGGAGCAAACAGGAUUAGAUACCCGAGUAGUC
rnacentral:rRNA from 1 species